rnacentral:rRNA from 2 species
GGUCCCGCUAAGCGUAUACAUGCAAGUCGAGCGAAUCGAUGGGAGCUUGCUCCCUGAGAUUAGCGGCGGACGGGUGAGUAACACGUGGGCAACCUGCCUAUAAGACUGGGAUAACUUCGGGAAACCGGAGCUAAUACCGGAUACGUUCUUUUCUCGCAUGAGAGAAGAUGGAAAGACGGUUUACGCUGUCACUUAUAGAUGGGCCCGCGGCGCAUUAGCUAGUUGGUGAGGUAAUGGCUCACCAAGGCGACGAUGCGUAGCCGACCUGAGAGGGUGAUCGGCCACACUGGGACUGAGACACGGCCCAGACUCCUACGGGAGGCAGCAGUAGGGAAUCUUCCGCAAUGGACGAAAGUCUGACGGAGCAACGCCGCGUGAACGAAGAAGGCCUUCGGGUCGUAAAGUUCUGUUGUUAGGGAAGAACAAGUACCAGAGUAACUGCUGGUACCUUGACGGUACCUAACCAGAAAGCCACGGCUAACUACGUGCCAGCAGCCGCGGUAAUACGUAGGUGGCAAGCGUUGUCCGGAAUUAUUGGGCGUAAAGCGCGCGCAGGUGGUUCCUUAAGUCUGAUGUGAAAGCCCACGGCUCAACCGUGGA